CCUAACACAUGCAAGUCGAACGAGCGAGAGGAGGUUUACUUCUCAAGCGAGUGGCGAACGGGUGAGUAACGCGUGAGGAACCUGCCUCAAAGAGGGGGACAACAGUUGGAAACGACUGCUAAUACCGCAUAAGCCCACGACCCGGCAUCGGGUAGAGGGAAAAGGAGCAAUCCGCUUUGAGAUGGCCUCGCGUCCGAUUAGCUAGUUGGUGAGGUAAUGGCCCACCAAGGCGACGAUCGGUAGCCGGACUGAGAGGUUGAACGGCCACAUUGGGACUGAGACACGGCCCAGACUCCUACGGGAGGCAGCAGUGGGGAAUAUUGCACAAUGGGGGAAACCCUGAUGCAGCGACGCCGCGUGGAGGAAGAAGGUCUUCGGAUUGUAAACUCCUGUUGUUGAGGAAGAUAAUGACGGUACUCAACAAGGAAGUGACGGCUAACUACGUGCCAGCAGCCGCGGUAAAACGUAGGUCACAAGCGUUGUCCGGAAUUACUGGGUGUAAAGGGAGCGCAGGCGGGAAGACAAGUUGGAAGUGAAAUCCAUGGGCUCAACCCAUGAACUGCUUUCAAAACUGUUUUUCUUGAGUAGUGCAGAGGUAGGCGGAAUUCCCGGUGUAGCGGUGGAAUGCGUAGAUAUCGGGAGGAACACCAGUGGCGAAGGCGGCCUACUGGGCACCAACUGACGCUGAGGCUCGAAAGUGUGGGUAGCAAACAGGAUUAGAUACCCUGGUAGUCCACACUGUAAACGAUGAUUACUAGGUGUUGGAGGGAUUGACCCCUUCAGUGCCGCAGUUAACACAAUAAGUAAUCCACCUGGGGAGUACGACCGCAAGGUUGAAACUCAAAGGAAUUGACGGGGGCCCGCACAAGCAGUGGAGUAUGUGGUUUAAUUCGACGCAACGCGAAGAACCUUACCAAGUCUUGACAUCCUGCGACGGACAUAGAAAUAUGUUUUUCCUUCGGGACGCAGAGACAGGUGGUGCAUGGUUGUCGUCAGCUCGUGUCGUGAGAUGUUGGGUUAAGUCCCGCAACGAGCGCAACCCUUAUGGUCAGUUACUACGCAAGAGGACUCUGGCCAGACUGCCGUUGACAAAACGGAGGAAGGUGGGGAUGACGUCAAAUCAUCAUGCCCUUUAUGACUUGGGCUACGCACGUACUACAAUGGCGUUAAACAAAGAGAAGCAAGACCGCGAGGUGGAGCAAAACUCAGAAACAACGUCCCAGUUCGGACUGCAGGCUGCAACUCGCCUGCACGAAGUCGGAAUUGCUAGUAAUCGCAGAUCAGCAUGCUGCGGUGAAUACGUUCCCGGGCCUUGCACUCACCGCCC
rnacentral:rRNA from 1 species